rnacentral:rRNA from 1 species
GUGGAUUAGAUACCCUGGUAGUCCACGCUGUAAACGAUGUCAACUAACCGUUGGGCUUCUUUUAGGAGCUUAGUGGUGGAGCUAACGUAUUAAGUUGACCGCCUGGGGAGUACGGCCGCAAGGUUAAAACUCAAAUGAAUUGACGGGGGCCCGCACAAGCGGUGGAGCAUGUGGUUUAAUUCGAUGCAACGCGAAGAACCUUACCUACCCUUGACAUCCAGAGAAUCUGUGAGAGAUCGUAGAGUGCCUUUGGGAGCUCUGAGACAGGUGCUGCACGGCCGUCGUCAACU